CAUAUUAAUAAAGUGUCAUAGUUUUUUCAUAAAACUUUUAAUAAAAAUUUCUUACUCUCGUCUCAACCUUCCUACUGAGAGUCCUAGUUGAAAGGUUUGCCCCGAACAAUCUGUUUUUGUCUGCAGUAUUUGCACAUAAUUUAAUGCUGGAUGUUAGACUUAGUUCUUUUUAGUAUUUCUAAUCAAACNUUUGAAAUCCAUAAAGUGCGGAUCACCAGGUCAUGUAUUACUUUGCACUGUAAGUUCAAAAUCUAAGGAAAAUUAAUAACAUCAUUAAAAUUAAGGUGAGGUCUGUAUAACAAUUAUUUUCGCUUACAUUCUUUUGAUGGUCGCCUGUUAAUAUGGUAUCGCCCAAGUUACUAGUUAGUAGCCCAAGUUCACAUGCAGAUUAUAUAUACUGCAAAAUGUGUAGCUCUAGUUAUUUUUGCUCAGUUAAAAAAAACCUUACACCGUUUUUGAAACAUUUCAACCAAGAUUAUCUGGACCUCAAUACUUUCGUUGAAAAUGAUUGAUAAAAAUUAAAAUAUAACUAUCAACAUCUUUUUGAAGCCCUCUAAGUUUAUAAACUAUUAGGAGUAAUAAUCGCAACUCUAAUUGUUUUAUUGU